rnacentral:rRNA from 1 species
GGGACACGUGGUAUCCUGUCUGAAUAUGGGGGGACCAUCCUCCAAGGCUAAAUACUCCUGACUGACCGAUAGUGAACCAGUACCGUGAGGGAAAGGCGAAAAGAACCCCGGCGAGGGGAGUGAAAAAGAACCUGAAACCGUGUACGUACAAGCAGUGGGAGCCUCUUUUAUGGGGUGACUGCGUACCUUUUGUAUAAUGGGUCAGCGACUUAUAUUCUGUAGCAAGGUUAACCGAAUAGGGGAGCCGAAGGGAAACCGAGUCUUAACUGGGCGUUAAGUUGCAGGGUAUAGACCCGAAACCCGGUGAUCUAGCCAUGGGCAGGUUGAAGGUUGGGUAACACUAACUGGAGGACCGAACCGACUAAUGUUGAAAAAUUAGCGGAUGACUUGUGGCUGGGGGUGAAAGGCCAAUCAAACCGGGAGAUAGCUGGUUCUCCCCGAAAGCUAUUUAGGUAGCGCCUCGUGAAUUCAUCUCCGGGGGUAGAGCACUGUUUCGGCAAGGGGGUCAUCCCGACUUACCAACCCGAUGCAAACUGCGAAUACCGGAGAAUGUUAUCACGGGAGACACACGGCGGGUGCUAACGUCCGUCGUGAAGAGGGAAACAACCCAGACCGCCAGCUAAGGUCCCAAAGUCAUGGUUAAGUGGGAAACGAUGUGGGAAGGCCCAGACAGCCAGGAUGUUGGCUUAGAAGCAGCCAUCAUUUAAAGAAAGCGUAAUAGCUCACUGGUCGAGUCGGCCUGCGCGGAAGAUGUAACGGGGCUAAACCAUGCACCGAAGCUGCGGCAGCGACGCUUAUGCGUUGUUGGGUAGGGGAGCGUUCUGUAAGCCUGUGAAGGUGUGCUGUGAGGCAUGCUGGAGGUAUCAGAAGUGCGAAUGCUGACAUAAGUAACGAUAAAGCGGGUGAAAAGCCCGCUCGCCGGAAGACCAAGGGUUCCUGUCCAACGUUAAUCGGGGCAGGGUGAGUCGACCCCUAAGGCGAGGCCGAAAGGCGUAGUCGAUGGGAAACAGGUUAAUAUUCCUGUACUUGGUGUUACUGCGAAGGGG